GUGGAUUAGAUACCCUAGUAGUCCACGCUGUAAACGAUGAAUACUAGAUGUUGGGCAGAAAUGUUCAGUGUCGCAGCUAACGCAUUAAGUAUUCCACCUGGGGAGUACGAUCGCAAGGUUGAAACUCAAAGGAAUUGACGGGGGCCCGCACAAGCAGUGGAGCAUGUGGUUUAAUUCGAUGCAACGCGAAGAACCUUACCUGGGCUUGAAAGGCAAGUGACCGGGUGUGAAAGCACCCUUCCCUUCGGGGCACUUGUACAGGUGCUGCACGUUCGUCGUCAACU
rnacentral:rRNA from 1 species